CCCGGCUCCCCCGGCGCGGGGCGCGCGGCCCUUACCUAUGGUGGUGAUGACCGUGAUGGCAAAGUAGAAGGAGCCGGCGAAUUUCCACUGGACGCCGGCGCGGUGCGGCUCGGACUGCAGGAUCACCAGCUCCAGCUGCCGGUAGUCCUCGGCGCUGAUGUUGUACUUCCCCUUGAUCCGGAUCUCCUCCGCUUUGAGUUUCUCCUCCUCGCGCAUCUCGUGGUCCGACUCGAGGGCGUCGAAGACGGCGGCGCCCACCAGCAGGUGGGAAGGCUUCCAACGGGGGACAGUCACGUGCCCAAGGACACAGGACAGUUACCACCUCGAACCCCGCUUCUGUCCAGCACUCCUUCGAGGACCCCAGCCGCCCUCUGACCCCAACGUCAUGGUGCCUUGGAGAGUCACAGACCACCGCCCCCCCCCCCCCCCACACACACACACACAAAGGCUGCCUCUUCCUUUUCUCCUCGCUCCAAAAUAUGGCCUUUGGACUCAAGCCCCCGGAGCCAGACCUCAGGGAGGGAUCUUGGGGCUGGAAGAGGACACUCACACGCGGCACUCUCUACCCCCCACCUGCCCCCCCGACCGGUGGAAGUGAGGUCCCUGGAGCAGAACCUGGCUCCUGGCGUCUCCCCUAUGUCCCCAGCACCCCCCACACCUCAGCGGCUCAGCUAGGUCUGUGGGUUGGCACUGCCUGACUGUCCACAAGGAGCCUAGACUACCGCAGGCGCCUCUGGGGAGCCUCUGGGGAGCCUCUGGUGAGCCCAGCUCCUCUGCUACCCCUAGGGUUCCGGGGGCACCCACUCCAGCCCAGCUCCAGUGGGGGGGGGACUCAACUCCCAACCAAUGAGAAAGGACCUGGGAAAGCAUUUCUAGGAGGAGCUGGGGCAAAGGGAGGGAGGCAGGAAAGCCCCACCCCUCCCCCCACCCCCAGCAAGACCCCCUGAUUUAGGGGAGCAGAUACGUUCUCUGUGCAGCAUAGGCCACUGUGGGUUCAUCCCAAGCCUGGCAGGAGCCGCAGCCGGCCUGUGUCCGUCACUGGGCCUCCCUGGACCUCGGUAUCUUCUUUAGUAAAAACAGAUGUGUUGGUUCAGGUAAUAAAGAACAUCGCGCCCUUACAGCAUCUGCUGCCUACCUGUUUGCGGGGCUCUCCACCCGCGCCGGCUUGUCAUUGGCCUCCAGGGACCAAGGCGGGUUACCCGGUCUCACCCAGGGAAGCCCAGCAGUGGACGCUGGUCCCGUGGGGAGUCAGAGUGGGCGCCCCCGGGCCUGCCACCGCAGCACUGUGUCCCUGAAACCGUGAACACUCUGCUGCCAGCGGAAGCCCCGGAGCCACCGUGCUCCAGGCCCGGCUCCCAGGCUGGUGCCCCGGUGCCUGCGCGGACAUCGUCAUGGUCGGCGCUGGCCCGGGACUGUUUGCUGGCAAGGAGCCACAACGGCCUGCUGCUUCCAGAACAUCAAACUCCCUGGAUGCCUGCGUGUAAUGCUGUGUCACGUUAAUACCCCCAUCCCUGAAAAUAGGCAGAGGCUGCGGAAUCACUGCCCCCAUUUUAUAGAUGGGGAAGGUGAGGCGCUAAGCCGCAUGGGCCCCAAUCACAAAGAGAAGCUGUGGUCUCCUCGGGGCUCCCAUGCCAGCUCUGUAGGCGCCUCCCCGCACUCGCAGCUUCGCUGGCCCCCACCGGGUGCUCCCGGCCCACGACAUUUGCAGCGGAUGGCGUGUCUUCACUCUGGGCCCCCAGAUUCCAGAGAGAAGGGCUCUGUCGCCAGGCAGCCAGGCCCUCAGGAGCUUGCCAGACUCUCCUUUGGGAUGUGAAUCAGCACACCCUGGAGAGCGUUUCUCUGGGCGCACUGGGGACACUGGGUAAGCAGGAAAAUUCAGGAUUUCGCAGAGCCUGGGCCUGCCAACAGGCGUCCUGACCCGCAGGCUGCAGUGCCGUGAACAGCAUCUCCCAAAUCCACUUGAGCGUGGGAUCUGCCUUUGGGCGGGCGCAGAGCUGGCCUCAGAGCCAGGCCCCGGCCGCCCUUCGGGAGCGCUGUCCCGGCCCGGCUUGCUGGGCACAGGGGGCAGGAGGCCUGGACGCCACCCUGGUCCCACACAGACAGGCCGUCCUCCGGCCCAGGUCCUGGUGGCCCCGCCGAGCAGCCCCCUCUCUCCCCUGCCUGCCGCGACCUUCGGAACACACCGCUUCGCUGCUGGAACCCGACGGGGGCUCCUCGACCAGCCCAGGCUGCCCCCGGCGUUGCCACCUCAGCUCCUGCCUCCCUCCGCCCCUCCUCCAGCACCAGCCUCUGUCUCGACAGCACCUCCGUGCCCUGGCUCAUGCUGUUCCCUCUGCUGGCACACCUUUCCCUACCCUCUUUGGGCUCUCAUCCUCUCGUCUUUCAAGAUUCAGCUCCACCAGCAUGCCCUCCAGAAGCUUCCUGGGCCCCCGGGCUGGCCUAGGCUCCUGUGUCCCCGCACGGACUUACAUCCCCCGCCUGAUGGAGCUCCUCGAGGGCAGGGCCGUGGCCGCCUCAGCCUGGUCGUGCGGGGUCGUGGCCGCCCAGCGCGCACGCAGCAGGUGCACCGCUGGAUGGCAGCUAACGGGCAGGGCUGGGCUCGCUCGCUGGCAAGUCUGAGGCCGUUGCCCCACGUGAGUCUGGCUCAGCUGAGAUGGCAAAAAAGAGCCUCCACACGACGUGAGGGGACAUGGGAGCCAUGGUAAGUCCUCGAGCGGGAGAGUGGUACAGGGAUCCUGGUGGAUGACUGGUCCUGAGCGCAUGUUCCUUGGACACCUGCUGGGCGCUGGGCCUGAGCUGGUGUCGUGUCCUCACGAUAACUCUGAGACUGUCAUCGUCCCCGCUGGCUGGUGAUGCAGCUGAGGCCCCACGAGUUCAGGACAGUAGCCAUGAGUCCAGGCCCUUGUGGGGUGGACGGGUGGGAGUUCGGGCGCGGUGCCCCGCCUCUCCCGGCACAGGCACAAGUGGAAGCGGCCGCUGCACAGGAGGCUGUUCAGUGGGCUCCGCGACUGAAUCCAGAGGAUGCCAAGAUAGGUCCCAGGCUUGGGUGACAUGCAGUGAGGGUCACAGGGCAGGGAGGCGGGACUCUGGCCAGGACUUCCGAGAUACCAGAGGCAGAGCCACAGGUGGAGAAGGGAAUGAGGCUGGGUGUGCCUCCGUCUGCCCACGGGGCCCCAGAACGUUAUGUCAGCGGGCAGGGAACGUGGUUCUGAGGGUGGACAGUCAGGGCCUGUGGCCUUUGGGUCGUCAGACCUUCGGCUUCCCUGGACACCCGUGGCCAGGUGACCAGGGGACCUGGGCCGCAAACUGGCCAGGGGUCCUCCCCGAGAUGUCAAGGGCGGGUCCUGCUGGGCAUCUCUGAGUUCCUAAACUCUUGGGCCUUGGAGCGGGGAAGGCAAAGCCAGGGCUCAAGGGCCCCCCUUCAAGCUAAGGACACUCCCUGAAGCCCUGAGCACACUCACUCACACACACACUAUGAGCGGACAAGUGGUUGGUGGACUUCAGGCAUCUUAAUGGGGCAGGAACCGCAGCCCACCUCCACGCCACCCCACAGAGCCUGGGGGUGCCCAGCAUCUAUCAAGGGGUCCCCGAGGCUCCGUAGCCCACAGGUGCCUCCAGCAGCUGUGACCCUGUGCCCCCCGGGGUGGGGGGUGGGUCUCGGGAACCAGGGCUUCAGCAGCAGACCCACCCCUGACCCCCAACCCCCAAGGCCACCAAGGCUCCCGGGCGCAGGAGGGCCCAGCCCCCCACCCUCUGCACCUGGGUCCCUGGGACACCGCAGAGCAGAGGCUCUGGCAGCUGCUGACCCGAUGAAUGAAACGGAUUCACAAGCAACAAGCCCAUGGCCCGGAAGUGGCACCGGGGACCUUUCUCCUGGUCGCUUCCCCGCCACCAGCGCCUGGAAUGGCUCGGUGUUCACGGAGAGGAGAUGUUUGCUGAACUCACUCUCUGCCUGCUUAAAGUAAAUAAUAAAAUAAUAAUACGAAAUAAAACAAAAUUAAAAAUAAA